rnacentral:rRNA from 1 species
CGUGGACACAGCUCAGUAACACGUGGCUAACCUGCCCUUGGGACAGAGACACCCCGGGAAACUGGGGCUAAUCCCUGAUAGGCGAAGAACUCUGGAAUGAGUCUUCACCCAAAAGGCGUUUAGGUCAUGCUUCUAGGCGUUGCCCAAGGAUGGGGCCGCGACCGAUCAGGUUGUUGGUGAGGUAAUGGCUCACCAAGCCUAUAACCGGUGCGGGCCGUGAGAGCGGGAGCCCGGAGAUGGGCACUGAGACAAAGGCCCAGGCCCUACGGGGCGCAGCAGUCGCGAAAACUUUGCAAUACACGAAAGUGUGACAGGGUCAUCCCGAGUGCCGUCCGCUGAGGAUGGCUUACAUCCAGUCUAGAAAGCUGGAGGAAUAAGGAGAGGGCAAGUCUGGUGUCAGCCGCCGCGAUAAUACCAGCUCUCCGAGUGGUGUGGAUGUUUAUUGGGCCUAAAGCAUCCGUAGCUGGCUGGGCAAGUCCCCUGUUAAACCCACCGAUUUAAUCGUUGGUUUGCGGGGGAUACUGCUCGGCUAGGGGACGAGAGAGACCGACGGUAUUUCCGGGGUAGGGGUGAAAUCCUAUAAUCCCGGGAAGACCACCAGUGGCGAAGGCUGUCGGCUAGAACGCGCCCGACGGUGAGGGAUGAAAGCUGGGGGAGCGAACCGGAUUAGAUACCCGGGUAGUCCCGGCUGUAAACGAUGCAGGCUAGGUGUUUGGGCGGCCACGUGCCGCUCUAGUGCCGCAGGGAAGCUGUUAAGCCUGCCGCCUGGGGAGUAAGCCGCAAGGCUGAACUUAAAAGCCA